AGGACGAACGCUGGCGACGUGCCUAAUACAUGCAAGUCGAACGAGGUCUUCGGACCGAGUGGCGAACGGGUGAGUAACACGUUGGUACCUACCCCGAAGUGGGGAAUAACUGCCCGAAAGGGUGGCUAAUACCGCAUAAUACCGCAAGGUUAAAGCAGUAAUGCGCUUCGGGAGGGGCCUGCGUCCCAUUAGCUAGUUGGUAGGGUAAUGGCCUACCAAGGCGACGAUGGGUAGCUGGAUCGAGAGGUUGACCAGCCACACUGGGACUGAGAUACGGCCCAGACUCCUACGGGAGGCAGCAGUAAGGAAUCUUCCACAAUGGACGAAAGUCUGAUGGAGCAACGCCGCGUGCAGGAUGACGGCCUUCGGGUUGUAAACUGCUUUUAUAUGGGAAGAUUAUGACGGUACCAUAUGAAUAAGGACCGGCUAACUACGUGCCAGCAGCCGC
rnacentral:rRNA from 1 species